AAUGAGUUGGCAGACUUAUGCACUUGAUUUAGGAUCAACCCACAGGAAAUUCCUACUCAUUA
rnacentral:tRNA from 1 species